AAGAGCUUGCUCUUAUGGGUGGCGAGUGCCGGACGGGUGAGGAAUACAUCGGAAUCUACCUUUUCGUGGGGGAUAACGUAGGGAAACUUACGCUAAUACCGCAUACGACCUUCGGGUGAAAGCAGGGGACCUUCGGGCCUUGCGCGGAUAGAUGAGCCGAUGUCGGAUUAGCUAGUUGGCGGGGUAAAGGCCCACCAAGGCGACGAUCCGUAGCUGGUCUGAGAGGAUGAUCAGCCUCACUGGAACUGAGACACGGUCCAGACUCCUACGGGAGGCAGCAGUGGGGAAUAUUGGACAAUGGGCGCAAGCCUGAUCCAGCCAUACCGCGUGGGUGAAGAAGGCCUUCGGGUUGUAAAGCCCUUUUGUUGGGAAAGAAAAGCAGUCGAUUAAUACUCGGUUGUUCUGACGGUACCCAAAGAAUAAGCACCGGCUAACUUCGUGCCAGCAGCCGCGGUAAUACGAAGGGUGCAAGCGUUACUCGGAAUUACUGGGCGUAAAGCGUGCGUAGGUGGUUGUUUAAGUCUGUUGUGAAAGCCCUGGGCUCAACCUGGGAAUUGCAGUGGAUACUGGGCGACUAGAGUGUGGUAGAGGGAA
rnacentral:rRNA from 1 species